ensembl:lncRNA
AGAGAGAGAGAGAGAGAGAGAUGGUGAGAAACAGAGAGAGAGAGAGAGAGAGCGAGAGGGUGAGAAACAGAGAGAGAGAGAGAGGAGGGAGGAGAGAGAGUGAGGGUGAGAAACAGAGAGAGAGAGAGAGGGUGAGAAACAGAGAGAGAAAGAGAGGGGAGGAGAGAGAGGGAGGGAGGGAGGGAGGGAGGGAGGGUGAGAAACAGAGAGAGAGAGAGUGAGAAACAGAGAGAGAGGGAGGGUGAGAAACAGAGAGAGAGAGAGGGAGGGUGAGAAACAGAGAGAGAGAGAGAGAGAGAGAGGGUGAGAAACAGACAGAGAGAGAGAGAGAGAGAGAGGGAGAGUGAGAAACAGAGAGUGAGAGAGAGAGAGAGAGAGAGGGAGGGUGAGAAACAGAGAGAGAGGGAGGGUGAGAAACAGAGAGAGAGAAGGGGUGAGAAACAGAGAGAGAGA